GUGCUCGCUUGGGCAGCACAUAUACUAAAACUGGAACGAUACAGAGAAGAUUAGCACGGCCCCUGCAUAAGGAUGACACACAAAUUCAUGAAACGUUCCACAUUUUU
ensembl:snRNA U6 U6 spliceosomal RNA